rnacentral:misc_RNA from 1 species
AAGUCGUAACAAGGUUUCCGUAGGUGAACCUGCGGAAGGAUCAUUAACGAAUUUGUUGUUAUUGUUGUGUGGGGGGGGUAAGUGGUGUGGUUUGAAUGGUUCGCCGUUCUUCCACCAACCACUCUUCGCCGCCAACAUAACACUAUAUAAGCACACAAAGGCAUGCCUUUGUGCGGUCGGUUUGGUUUCCAUGCUGGCCAGAUGAUUAUGAUUACGUGGAGGUUGUGAUUGCGCAGCGAAAGCAUGCAAAGUCCAACACCACAUUAACUACAUAAAAUCGGAAGUUUAUUUAGUUUGGCUAAUGUUUUGCUUGAUUUCAAGGGUAAAAGCUUGAAUCAAGAAUAAAAAGUACAACUUUUAACAAUGGAUCUCUUGGCUCUU